UGGUUCUGGCAUCGAUGAAGAACGCAGCGAAAUGCGAUAAGUAAUGUGAAUUGCAGAAUUCAGAGAAUCAUCGAAUCUUUGAACGCACAUUGCGCCCAUUAGUAUUCUAUUGGGCAUGCCUGUUCGAGCGUCAUUAAAACCCCUAAGCCCUGCUUAUUGUUGGGAAUCUACAGCGCUCCAGCUCUGCUGGUCUUGUAGCUCCUUAAAUCCAACGGCGAUCUAUAGUGUCCGCUGAGCGUAGUAAUUCAUUAUCUCGCUUCUGUCAGGUCCUGUAGCUUUUGCCGGUAAACCCCCUAAACUUUUUAAUGGUUGACCUCGGAUCAGGUAGGAAUACCCGCUGA
rnacentral:misc_RNA from 1 species